rnacentral:rRNA from 1 species
GACGAACGCUGGCGGCGUGCUUAACACAUGCAAGUCGAACGGAAAGGCCCUGCGUUUGCGGGGUGCUCGAUUGGCGCACGGGUGAGUAACACGCGAGUAACCUGCCCUUGACUGUGGGAUAACUUCAGGAAACUGGGGCUAAUACCGGAGAGGAGAUCCUGCAGCGUGGGGGGGGAUGGUAAGUUUCGGCGGUUGGGGAUGGACUAGCGGCAUAUCAGCUGGUUGGUGGGGUUGUGGCUUACAAAGGCUUGGACGGGUAGCCGGCCUGGGAGGGUGACCGGCUCCAGUGGGCCUGGGAUGCGGCCCGGACGCCUUCGGGCGGCAGCGGUGGGGACCAUACGGCAAUGGGCCGCGGCCGGAUGCAGCAACGUCGCGUGGGGAAUGACGGCUUUCGGGGUGUAACCCGCUUUCGCGUGUGACGAAGCGUGAGUGCCGGUACUGGGUAAAGAAGCACCGCCUACUACGUG